rnacentral:rRNA from 1 species
CCUACGGGAGGCAGCAGUGAGGAAUAUUGGACAAUGGACGAGAGUCUGAUCCAGCCAUGCCGCGUGCAGGAAGACAGCCCUAUGGGUCGUAAACUGCUUUUAUACGGGAAGAAACACCCCCUCGUGAGGGGGCUUGACGGUACCGUAUGAAUAAGGACCGGCUAACUCCGUGCCAGCAGCCGCGGUAAUACGGAGGGUCCGAGCGUUAUCCGGAAUCAUUGGGUUUAAAGGGUCCGUAGGCGGACAAUUAAGUCAGUGGUGAAAGUCUGCAGCUCAACUGUAGAAUUGCCAUUGAUACUGGUUGUCUUGAAUCGUUGUGAAGUGGCUAGAAUAUGUGGUGUAGCGGUGAAAUGCUUAGAUAUCACAUAGAAUACCGAUUGCGAAGGCAGGUCACUAACAACGUAUUGACGCUGAUGGACGAAAGCGUGGGGAGCGAACAAGAUUAGAUACCCUGGUAG